rnacentral:lncRNA from 1 species
AUUGCUUUUGCAAGAUGUUGAUUAUUUUUUCCUUUUGCAUUUGACAAAGCUUAGAAAUUGGGCAAAAAUGUCUUUCUUGUAAUAGUGUUAGGUUAGUUUUAAUAAUGAGUCAACUGUGGAUGUUUUAAACAUUUGCAGUAAAUUCAUCUUUGAGUCUAGAUAGAUGCUGCAUCAUACCCAAAUUAAAAUACACACACACAGGUUAUGGAAUGCUCAGAAAAUGGAAAAAAUAAACUGCUCGAUUGAAUUCAGCUUUCAUGUAUUUAAUAUUUUGGUGAUUGAGAUUAUCAUCAGAGAGGAGAGGGGGCUUAGAAAUAGAACAACUUGUGCCUUUGGGUAGGAGUUUGAAUUUUGAGUCGAAGCACAAUGGAAUAUUUUGCCUGAAUUUUUGGUUCUAAACAUUUGUGUUUGCUAUAUUAAGAAAAGUUUUCUCCAGCAAAUUUCUUGAAUUUGUCAUUAUUCCAUUUGAUUUGCUUCUUCCUUUAUCUCUGCCUCGCUUAUUACAGACAAUUUACAAGGAGAAAGGGGGAAAAAAACCACUUUGAUUCAUUUGGACACAGGUUUUAAUGACUUAACAUUUUACUGUAUACUUCUGAUAACACAGUAAAAAAAUUAGAUUACUUUCGAGGAACAAAAUUAAUCUUGGUAUUUUUAAAAGCAACAUUCCCAUGAUAAUUCAGGACAGCAAAAUGAAAACAAACCAAAGAACUAAAGAUUAAUUCUUGCAAAUAGUUAAAUGCACAUCAUAAAAAUUAAAGAUAUCUCCACGGUUUCUGAAGUGAAAGAGUUCCCAUAAAAACCAGGAAGCAUCCAGAGACGUGUGCAGCGUUCACACUUUAAUGAAGAUUUUUUUCAGGAAUCACACGAUAGUAGUAUCCAUAUGUAAGCAACAUGGGCAGCAGUGGUAACUUGUUUUCAUCCCAUAGAACUCAUUUUAACAGCUGAACUUGGCACUAAGGAAUCCACACCAAGUCUUACUUCCAAGAAAUUUCAAGUAAGCUAUUACAGAUAGCUUACGGAAUUUGAAUACAGAAUUUGAAUCUCUACGUGUGCAGCUAUGAGUGAAGGUUUUUAAUGCUCAGACCCAUAAAGGCACAUUUUUAUUAUGAUUCCAGCACUAUCAUCCGAGUAACAGAAAACAUUUCCCCUAUAUCUCAUUUUGACUUCCUUUCUUUGAGCGUAGCCUGUUUGAUAAUUCAGUAAUUACCUUUCACCUCAAAGUUGUCUCUUUUUAAUUUUUUAAAAGAUUCUUUUAACAUACUAAGGCUCCCUAAUUUCACUGGCAGCAUUCAGUUAAGUGAACCAUUUGGUUAAGACCCUAAAUGCAAUUCAACAUUUUCCCUAACUACUUGCAAACAGAAGCCAGUUGGGGACCAUGAACUAACUAUAUAACAUUUACAAGUGCUGCUAGCCUUUCACUGUCCAUAGCCUCCCCAUAUCCCUGUAGCCCAGAGAUCUAUCAAUUGAAACAGCCAGACAGUGGUCAAGAUUUCUUCAUAGGCCCCCUGUCUGGAGCACACAUUUGUUCUGUGUUCAUGAACUUGAUGUAUAGCUGUGGAAUCAAAGACACACAUUCAUCAUCAAGGAAGCCAGUGUUUUAUCUAGGAGCUGUAAGUCUGCUGAUAAGUACAAAGAAAAGAACGGCACCCCAGAGAAGAAGGGAAAGAAGAAAGAUGGGGAGCUAGCAGUGGGUAAAACCGAACAAAGGAUUAUGGAGUACUACACAGAAGCAAUUCAUCCAAGAACCUGGGCUACAACGGUGUUAUCUUUCAUUAUCAAACUUCUCUUACCCCUCCUUAGGGGCCUACUGCAUGACCUUACAGAGAGUAGGUACCAAUAUUCACCACUACUGGGUCACACCAACCAUCUGUGUCCUUCUCACUUGGGGGAUACGGGGGGAAGAACGAAGGGGGACAUGCGGGGCACACAAGACAGGCCCUUCUUCUCCACACUCUUCUGACUAACCUUCUUGAGCCCCAUCUUCCUUCUGUCUGGAUUUUGGUAUUUAGCUCGGGCCCAUUGAAGUGUCUCAAAAAAUUUAUUUCUCUUACAGGCCCCCAAACAAAACCAGUAUUCAUUUUCCAAGAUGGAAUCACAAGAGAAAUAUAAAAAUCUAACUGCACAUAGUAUAAAUAAACAUGGUAUGGGAACAUGAGAGCGGAACACAACGGCCUGACACAGGCGAGAGAGACAAUCCAGCAUAACAAAUAGUAAGUUGUGCUUCGCCCGUGGCAUUUUCUGGCUCCAUCAAUAAUUAUAUAAUACAACAGUCACUGAUUUCUCAGCCCUGGAUCAAUAAUGGGUUUCACAUCCCCUCCAGAGCUGGUUGUUGACCAAGGUGCUUGCUCAGACCCCCCACCCCAUCCAUGGCAAAAAUCAAUUCUUGCAUAACUGCUUGUGUGCUUGGAAUGCCAGCAUCAGAGCAAUGUUGAGUUUAAGAGCAACUGCAGCAUCACAAUGAUUCCCCAUGUGCCUCCGGAAAGCCCUACAGCUCAACAAGUAGUUUCCAAGCAAAGUCCUCAGCCCAAAAGACACGAUACAGCGGGACCUUCCAAAACACAACAGCAGCGACCACAAGUACACUCCUAGGUCCAGAGCACACUGUGGCUGGAGGCCGGGAGUCCUGUCUUCCGAUUAGCAUAUCUCCUGUGUCCUAUCACAGGAGGGGACAGUGCGGCAUUCUAGGUGCUUAGCACCGCAGGAGGGGAGUGCCACCGGGGGAUUGGAUGCCUCCUCUGACUUCUGGCCCCAAAAUAUUGCCCCACAUCCUACAAAACCUCAAAAGUCAAUUACAACACAUCACAAAAUGUAUUUUUCAAAAUGUAAAGAGGCUCCAUUUCUUUAAACCCAGUGAUACUUUUUCAGGCGUGCGCAUACAUGAAAAGCGCCACUAGUUGUAUGUACUCAACACCAAAAAGGGAAGAGAUGUAGUCAUCGCUUUAAUCUCAUCAAGACAGAUGGCCAAACUUGAUAUGGAGAUGCCAAAGUAGAUUUUAAAAAUUGAAUUACUCACUUUGGUUGUCUGCCUUGAUUUAGUUAACUAGACAAUGGCCCCAAAUUGUAAAAUCCUGGAACAGUAGCAUGUAAAUGAGGGCAAAAUUGUGAAAUAGUUUGUUUUAGCUUCUAUUGCUCACUUCUCUACAGGGGCUCCUGGCAUGAAAAUGUCAGAGGAAUGCAUCAUACACAUUAAGAGUUUUCAUUUUUCAGUUUAAAAAAAAAAAAACAAUGAAACUUAGAAUGAGUGAGUUGUCCAAGGUCAUGAGCAGCCUCAGCAUCUCAUGGGCACAGGGCCUGUGUGCUUUUCACAGUGCCAAACCUCCUAAGCUAAAAAAUACAUUUGUGGGUUCUAAAACCAUGUCCCUAAUUUGCCAUCCCUCCCUCUCCCCAUUUAAAAAAAAAUCCCUUAGUGCUUAUGAAAACUGAGAAAGAAUAAGCCUCAUUCAUGUA